CCUACGGGUGGCUGCAGUGGGGAAUAUUGCACAAUGGGCGAAAGCCUGAUGCAGCGACGCCGCGUGAGGGAUGACGGCCUUCGGGUUGUAAACCUCUUUCGACAGGGACGAAGCGCAAGUGACGGUACCUGUAGAAGAAGCACCGGCCAACUACGUGCCAGCAGCCGCGGUAAUACGUAGGGUGCGAGCGUUGUCCGGAAUUACUGGGCGUAAAGAGCUUGUAGGCGGUUUGUCGCGUCGUCCGUGAAAACUUGGGGCUCAACCCCAAGCUUGCGGGCGAUACGGGCAGACUUGAGUACGGCAGGGGAGACUGGAAUUCCUGGUGUAGCGGUGAAAUGCGCAGAUAUCAGGAGGAACACCGGUGGCGAAGGCGGGUCUCUGGGCAGUAACUGACGCUGAGAAGCGAAAGCGUGGGUAGCGAACAGGAUUAGAUACCCCAGUAGUCA
rnacentral:rRNA from 1 species